rnacentral:rRNA from 1 species
CAAUAGCGUAUAUUAAAGUUGUUGCGGUAAAAAAGCUCGUAGUUGGAUUUCUACCGAAGAUAGCCGGUCGGGUCUUCGACCUUGUAUCUGGUUUUGUCUUUGGUAUCCUCAUAGGGAAUGUUUCUGCGCUUUAUUGCGUGGUGCGGUAUCUAUGACUUUUACUUUGAGGAAAUUAGAGUGUUCACGGCAGGCAAACGCCUUGAAUAUAUUAGCAUGGAAUAAUAACAUAGGAUCUUCGUCCUAUUUUGUUGGUUUCUAGGGCUAAGAUAAUGAUUAAUAGGGAUAAUUGGGGGCAUCUGUAUCAACGCGUCAGAGGUGGAAUUCUUGGAUUGCGUUGCGACAAACUACUGCGAAAGCAUUUGCCAAGGAUGUUUUCAUUGA